UUGCGUGAGGGAUUGGAGUGGAAAUCCUUUUGCUUUUGAAAAAAAGCAAAAGAUUGCAACGGAAAGCCCGGCCCUCU
rnacentral:ncRNA from 2 species